rnacentral:rRNA from 1 species
UGGGGAAUAUUGCGCAAUGGGGGAAACCCUGACGCAGCGACGCCGCGUGCGGGAUGAAGGCCUUCGGGUUGUAAACCGCUUUUGAUUGGGAGCAAGCCUUUUGGGUGAGUGUACCUUUCGAAUAAGCGCCGGCUAACUACGUGCCAGCAGCCGCGGUAAUACGAAGGGGGCUAGCGUUGUUCGGAUUUACUGGGCGUAAAGCGCACGUAGGCGGACUUUUAAGUCAGGGGUGAAAUCCCGGGGCUCAACCCCGGAACUGCCUUUGAUACUGGAAGUCUUGAGUAUGGUAGAGGUGAGUGGAAUUCCGAGUGUAGAGGUGAAAUUCGUAGAUAUUCAGAGGAACACCAGUGGCGAAGGCGGCUCACUGGACCAUUACUGACGCUGAGGUGCGAAAGCGUGGGGAGCAAACAGG